CGGAGGUCUAAUGUCAAGCGCACUAACUCCCACUAUUUCCCCAGCAUGGGCACAGUGGCACAGUACCAUUCAUUGUUCAUUCAAUCCAGUGUCGCCUGCCAUUGCUGACAUGCUUAUCAAGUAAAUUUGAUUUAAUAACUGUCCAUUAAUUGUAUGCUUUACUUGAGAAACUUAGUGAUAUGACAGAUUUCAUGAAGUGUUCAGUUCGCUACGUCUUAUAUUGGUACAAGGAUUAUGCUCCAAAGCUUAUGUUUUUAACAAAUGCUUCCUCCUAAAAAUUGCUUAUAAAUAAUGUAUGCACCACCAUGCAGUUUUUUUCUUUCAAGAUGCUGAAUAUGAAACAUGAUUCAAAUUGAUAUGAUAUAGUGUGGUGUAUGUGGAAGUUCAUUGUUCUUUUAUUUUUUGGCCUUUUACUUCUCAAAUUGGUUAGUGAAUAUUGGAAGUGCCUUUGAGAACAUGUGCAAAUUUUUUUUGGCCGUGCAGAUCAUGCUUUCGAGUUUUUAUUCCUUUCAUCAUGAUUUGUCUUUAGCUUUGAAAAUUUUUGCUCAUGCUAUGUGACAGGUGGCGGAAAGGGCUCUUUUCUGAUGGAACAAUGAGCACAUUGAGAACCUGAUUGCAGAGAACCGACAUGUUAUCCUACCAAUAAUAUUUGACUCAUUAGAAGAGAUAUACGAGGUCAUUGGAAUCAGGCAAUCCUCGGUCUGAGCUCCAAUGUCCGAAAAAUGUUCCUGGAGAUGUACGCUAAACUGUUUGAGAAGUGUCAGAGACAGUAUGAGGAAAUGAAAGCUGGGGCAGGAGAACAAGAAGAACAUCGUGAGUUAGCACUAUGGAAGAGACUAGAAGAAGUUGCUACUCAGAUCUAGUGCUCUCUGCCUCUCUGGUGAAUUAUGAAGCCAAGUUCUCCCUUCCUCAUCAGAUGUUCUCUCUCCUUGAGAAGAUAUUGAGCUCCUAUCAAAGAAAUUGGGGUCACAACUUUUUGGGGUUGGUGGAGCUAUGUUGGCCUAAUGCUUGAGGCCUCUCUUUUGAUCUAUUGGCUGCUUUUUGUCGUCCGAAAAGGGAAGUAUGACUUAUCCAAAGCAAAGUUGGAAAGGGAGCUAAAAAUCCCAGGUAAUGGAGAUAUUGAUUUACUGUUCAUUGUUUUUUCUUCUCUCUUGACGUGGGUGUAUCUUCCAUCUUUUCGAUUCUUGGUGCUCUUAAUAAUGAUAUCAGUAACUUUAAUCAAGAUAAGUUUCAUGAUCAAGUUACUUCAAGUUCUCUGUGUGAAUGUCCAUUUCACUCUUAUUAAAAGAAAGAGCCGUGAUGCUACCAAAAAUCGUACCU
rnacentral:lncRNA from 1 species